AUGAAUCAGCCUCCUGUGGCCCAGCUCUUUGACUCUUAAAAGACAGCAAGCACAUCUCUUUUUUUAAACCUUGCAAAAGAAUUCAGAGAUCUGCUUGCCUCUGUUAAACAAGAGAAUAAACUAGCUGGGUGGGACCCACGCAGAAAAGACCAUUUCUACCUCUACUGGGCCUCAACCUAAAUUCCCUGUCCUAGACUGACCUUGAACUCAGGAAUCUUUGCAAGCAUAAACAACAAGAACAAAACGUAGCUGGGUGGGAUCUGAGAUCACCACUACCUAAACCUCUUUACUUCCUUGCUAAGUAUCUGACAAGUUGGCUCACAGUGCAGCUGCCUCAGUUCCUUAGAUCUGUGAAGCUCCUUACACAAUUUAUAUUGCAUCCUUAUAUUUUGCAUAGUUGAGAAAUUACAUAUUUUCGAUCAUGGUUUUAGAGUUCUUUUCACAGCCUUCAGGGCAGUCUGUAGGUCCCAGCAUUUACCAUUUUGCUGAAACAUUAGCCACACCUAUGCCUCCUGGACUAGUGCAGUCUCUGAAUGUCGCGGAGUCAUUAAUGUUAACAGAGGACAUUCAACAAGGAGGAGCAGAGUAAUGCAAAAAUAUGUACAUUAUUAUACAAACAACCCUUAUGCCCACAGCAGCCAUUGACACCACGCCUAUUGGCUCUGUCCCAGGGGCAGGAACCAUGUCAUUCUGCCCUUACUAAGGCCAUGUCAGACCCAGCAGCGGGGUCUCACUCUGAAGCUGAGGCUGGCCUCACAUUGAUGGCAGUCCACCUGUCUCUGCCUUCCAAGUGCUGGGAUUACAGGUGAGAGCCAGCACCCCCAGCGCCCAGUGUCAGGGCAGAGCUGGAAUGACUGUGCGUCUCCCAACGCAGAAAUUCCUGUCUAUCAUCUAUCCUCGUGCUCUAACAGCCCCUUCCUCUUGCAAGGACAGUCACAGCUGUGGGGCACUUCUGUCACCUCAGUUCUCCCGAGUGGGAGAAUACUGGUUAGAGAGCAACUCCGGUGCCACAAGGCACCUGCAGCUGAAAAGCAACUGCCGGCCUUGAGCCCCCAGGAGGGGGACCGCUCAGGGAGGCACCUGGAUCCCUCUGAGAGCAGCACAUCCGUCUCUGCCCAGGGUGCUCUGUACUUACUCUCCAGUCUGUGAACGUGCUUCGGAAGUAUGUCUUCCUCCUGGAUCUCCCCUGGACUCUACUGUCGCCCCAGGGUGUUCUCUUUGUGCUCACCAGCAAAGAAGUGGCACAGGCCAAGAAAGCCAUGUCCUGCCACCGCAGUCAGCUGCUCUGGUUCCGCCACCUCUACACC
rnacentral:lncRNA from 1 species